rnacentral:rRNA from 1 species
UGAUUAAGCCAUGCAAGUCGAGAGGGUUCGGCCCUCGGCGUACUGCUCAGUAACACGUGGAUAACCUGCCCUAGGGAAGGGGAUAACCCCGGGAAACUGGGGAUAAUACCCUAUAGGUUACAGAUGCUGGAAUGCUCUGUAACCCAAAGUUCCGGCGCCCUAGGAUGGAUCUGCGGCCGAUUAGGUUGUUGUUGGGGUAAUGGCCCAACAAGCCAGUAAUCGGUACGGGUUGUGGGAGCAAGAGCCCGGAGUUGGAUUCUGAGACACGAAUCCAGGCCCUACGGGGCGCAGCAGGCGCGAAAACUUUACAAUGCGGGCAACCGUGAUAAGGGAACCUCGAGUGCCUGUAAAUGCAGGCUGUUUAGGUGUUUAAAACGCACCUGGAGAAAGGGCCGGGCAAGACCGGUGCCAGCCGCCGCGGUAAUACCGGCGGCUCGAGUGGUGGUUAUUUUUAUUGGGCUUAAAGCGUUCGUAGCUGGGUUGUUAAGUCUCUUGGGAAAUCUGGCGGCUUAACCGUCAGGCGUCUAAGGGAUACUGGCAAUCUUGGAACCGGGAGAGGUGAGGGGUACUUCGGGGGUAGGAGUGAAAUCCUGUAAUCCUCGAGGGACCACCUGUGGCGAAGGCGCCUCACCAGAACGGCUUCGACAGUGAGGGACGAAAGCUGGGGGAGCAAACCGGAUUAGAUACCCGGGUAGUCCCAGCCGUAAACUAUGCGCGUUAGGUGUAUCGGUGACCACGAGUUACCGAGGUGCCGAAGGGAAACCGUGAAACGUGCCGCCUGGGAAGUACGGUCGCAAGGCUGAAACUUAAAGGAAUUGGCGGGGGAGCA